rnacentral:lncRNA from 1 species
UAAAAAGACAGAGGAAUAACACCAAGGCUUUUACCCGCUGUACAAUUCGAGAGCCGUCUUUGGGAUGAUAAUACUGCGUUUUACAAGAUGGACCUUAAUGUAAAACUCAGUAUUAUAUUGCGGUUUACAAGAUGCGCGUUUAAUGUUUUUACAAGAUGCGUGUUUAAUGUAAAACGCAGUAUUAUACUGGGUUUUACUUUAACCGUUAAAGUAAAACGCAAUAUAAUACGUCAUUUUAGGUAGAAAAGUAACUUUUUAAAAAAAAAUUGUAGAAAAUUGUUUGAGUCCAAAAAGUCGUCAUUUUGGUUUUGGACUCUCCAUCGUCACAUCAUGGACUUUUCAAAAGAAAGGUUGUGUUUUCCAGACGACUACUCCUACACCAUGAAUAUAGUGUUUGUAAACACCUAUGUUUUACAAUAUAAUUGUAAGAAUGUAAUUUCUUUCCUUCAAACUAUCUAUUAUUUUUUUCCAGCCAUAUAAUCCACAUGAUGCACAUCGGGCAGAGUCUUUUUCUUCCUUUUCUCCAUCCUUUGUCCUUGACAUACAUCGCUCUAUUGUGAAAUUACACUGUAAGUGCAAUUUAACAUAUAGCUCUGUAGUUCUUACCAUAUGAAAAAGUUAUCUAGCAUCCCUUCACAAGAUCAAGUUGUAUCAGUUUUUACUGCAAGUUAUACUAUAUUCCAAGUUUGAUUAUAAAGUUCUUGCUUAUUUACGCAAAUUCCAACAUCCUCAAUUAGAAAUCAAUGCAAAAAUUACAUAAUCCCAACCAAUCCUAUAGCUCUGACCACAAAGCACAAGGAUAAAGUUAGUCUGAAGGUAAAUUUUAAGAGUCAAGCUAGUAUUAUCAAAUAUUAGGAAGAUUUAUAAUCUAUUCAUUGUAGGACUAACAAAGCAAUCAUAAGAUUACAAUGCGCAAGAGAGACAUAACCAGCCUUUCAUAUAAAUAGCCAUGUAAAACUUUCGAAAAAGGGUAUAUGCAUAGUGGCAAUGCCAAAACCUGUAGCUGGAAAUGAGAAAACAGAAUUAUCACAAGCUAUAGGUGUACGGUUCAUUAAGGGACAUAUUUUUGUCUAUACAAAGGACUCCAGAGAAAAAUUCAUCUAAAAAAAAUAUAACCCCCCAAAAAAAGAAUUCUUCUGGUAACUAUUACGUGUCUUUGUAUUUGUAUUGUGAGACUAUUCAAAAGAUUGUAUGAUAGACUAAUGAAUCCUUAAUCAGAAGUAUUUAACACUGAAAAUAUGCAUGAAAUUAAAGCACUUCAUUUUCAAAUUAUCAACCUUCAGCCCUUGAAAGUCGGUGACAUACCUGCCAUGCUUUUUCCGGUUAGUUGGAUCAGAAGUCUAAUAGCCUUGCAAGGAUAAGAUCUAGUGAGAAAGCCCUAAGGGAUGGCUCUUAGAUUUAGAUGUAAGAUGUCACAUAUUCGAACCUUGUUCGACCAAAUACACAUGCCAACCAACCCAUGGUGAAUUGAAGGUACAGUCCACAGGAAAAAUAAGACGAUCUUAGAAUACAAUGCAAAUGCAUUACAGCUACAUGUGUAUCUAACUGACCAAACUAUUGAGAAAAUAAGAUGUCACCAGUGUUUUCUAAGUGAACAAAAAAUAAUUCUCAAGUGCUCUGCUAAUAUUAAUUUUUCUUCUCUCUUUUUUACCCAUAGAGCAGAUUCCAGUAGCAUUAAAUGAAUACCAAAAAUAGAGAGUUGGACCUCAUGUUCAAGUUUUCAUUCAAAUGUAAAACCUUACUUGCGGGACUGAUUUCAACUUCCAUUUAUUGAAAGAUAGUAUAUUAUUAUAUCUUAAAUGGAGGCAUGAUCAUCAGAAAUGGCAAUACUUAUGAAGCAUAUAUACGAUAUGUCAAUCUGAAUAAGGUCAUGAAUGCAUAGUGGAAUAGAACAAAGUAAAUAUUGAUCUUUACUAAUGAAGAAGGACAUCAUAAUAUGUGAACGGUAAAGCCUCCACACACCAAACAAUGAGUUUAGAGUUAAUGAGUAUGGAUAUCUUCCUACCAAAGUUCAUAUGAAAUAUACAAUCAUUUAGUGGGUUACAUUUCAAGACUCACAUAAACCUUCAUACAACAAUCAAUAGUGGAGCAUAAGGUAACGAAAGCAAGCGGAUAUAAUUGCUAACAGAUAAUCAAAGAACAAAAUCCCAAAUAUUUUGCUUGAUUACAUUGUUUAAAUGUAUUCAACAGUCUGAAAAAUCUCAUAUAACUUUGGGAUGGAAAGUGUAAUAAAUCUCAAUUCAUAACAGAAAAGAACCUCACGGAUUUCCGGCUCAAUUUACUUUAAGAGUACUUUCUAUUUUAUUUUUACCCUUUUUCUUUUUUCCCUUUUUUCAAUCAUUUGGGUUCCUACAACUUUUAAAUAAAAAUUUAGAAUUCAGUUGAUUUACAUUUUCAUCAUCUUUUUGCUAAAGAGGGACAUCAUGAAGAGUUUAUCAACACAUGUAAAGUGAUGUUGAUAUUUGGAUAUGUUUUUUGUUUUUCACUUAAGCUUUUGUAUUUAGGUAGUUUUGUAAAGUGUCUGCAGUUUGUUUUCCUUGAGUAUCAUGUAAAAAGUAAUCAUUUUUAGAUGGCAUGGCCUGCUAAUGUUCUCUUGAUGUAUAUGCUUUAGCCACAGACACUUUAAUUUUGCUUGGAGACGGAGCUAUUUCAGAUAGAUUUGUGAAAGAAGUACCAAUUAAAUCAAAGGGAUUUGUAUGAAAUUAUUUUCAAUGGUUGUCUCUUACCCAAGCACAGCAUUCAUGAAGAAUAUAAACAUAAUUUUCCAAAUUAAAUUUUCAAAAUGUCAUUCAGAGGCAUAUAAGAUAAUUAGAAGCAUAUUUAUUUUUUUAUAAAAUCUGAAUUUACACCACUAUUGAAAAGGGGAAAAGAUCGCAGAUAGUUCCUCCAUAUGCGGUCAAUUCAUUUAGACAUGUUAUCAAAUACCUCUCGGUACGUACAUCAGCGUAUAAAUCGAAUAAAGCAAUCCAAAUGAAUGUGAAAAUCCAAUAAGACUAUUCGAAAGAACAUAGAAACUGUCAGAUGCCACCAAAACCACAUUAGCAAUAACAGAGAACAUCAAUGGAAGCACGAAUACAUAAAAAAGCACACACCAGAGACAUCGCUGCAUGGAUGUGCAACAUUUGCCAAUAUACCAAGCAAGAAAAGAAAAAAUUCAAAUGAAAUCAUAAAAAAGAGCAUAGCAGUAGAAGCAACAAUGGCUAAGCUACCAAACAAAAAGAAAAAUCAAAACAAACAAAGUCAUUCACCCAUAACUGAGAAGACAAAGGCAAUCAAACCCAACCUUAUGUGGUACCUUGGAGAUGAGAAGCCUCAAUCACUUGGAGCAUACCAGUGGUCUCGAGCUCCAAAACCAACUCCAUUCAACUCGUGCUUGAAUAUAUUUUCGAUUGGAGCAACACGGUUACCUCCACGUUUGUAGUCCUUAUACAGAACCAUUUGUUUUUAUUGUUUGUCUCUAAAGUGACACAAAGUUGUGGGAGGAUCCAGCAAUUUUGGGAACAGACUUUAGCAGCAGAGGAGCGUAAGUGAGAAUUGAGAAAGGAAGGGACAGAAGUAGGAGAUGGAAUUAACCAUUCGUCCAGUUAGUGGGAGACACAGAAAUACACGUGUUAAUAACAGUAGUACAAGUGUUUAGAA